rnacentral:lncRNA from 1 species
UUAUGCUAAACUAUAAACUAAUAAAUAAUAAAGUUCUAUGAUUGAUGAUAGAGUAGUUGUUUGUUUUUUACUCUCACACUGCAUAAUUGAUGGUUCAGAACUGCAUUUUCUCUAAGCAUGCCAUGUCUUCUCGAUGCAUCUCUCUUGAUAUAUCUGUAAAGUUUGAAUUAGAAUUGUUAGAAUAUGAAUAAUGUACUUCAAAAUUCUGCAACAGUAAGAUAGAGUAACGUUGUAAAAAAGUAAACCUGUUAUGCUAAAGCAUUAAAAUUCAUUUUCAUCCAAAGCAACCUAUAAAAUAGAAAAUACAUAUUAAUAUUUCCUUUUAGGUAAAUCAAAGCGAUAAAGUAUUCAAAAAUGUAAAUUCUAAGUUACCAACUAUUCUAUAAUGCUUAAAGAAAACUUCAAUCCUUCAAUACGAUAUUAGACUAAAUUCAAUUAUUCACAUAAUCAAAUUUAUUACUACAUACCAAGGAUAACGGCCAAGCAACAGGUGCUCCAAUAGAAUCUCUGAUGGUCUGUAUGUGAUCACAAGGUUUAAGCAAGCGCACAUCUUUCUUAAUAUCAGACUGAAUGGUUAUUUCACACCAUUCAGGUCCCAAUUCCUCACCGUUUACUCUAAUAGAACCACUAUUACAAACAUAUGCACUUGCAACAAUCUCAUUGAUAUUUCCCAAACUUUUUAGAAUAACGGCAGAAUUAACGUGAAAUUUUAGCGUGCUUAUAGUUUUUGUAAUGAAAUAUUCAUAACAAUUUUCAUUUAAAGGAGUUAACAAGCUUUGAGAAAUUGAUGUAGACGAGCGUUGGUUGCUUUGAGAGGUAACGGGAACAUUUUGUGCACUAGGUAGUGCUCGUCCAUGAACUGCUGCUGCUAGAUUAUCCACCUUCUCAUUCAGUGCAUCAUAUUGGUCUUUUGUUUUCAAAUACUUGUCUUUAUACUCCAUCUCCAAUCUAUAACUUGCAUCACGACUUGGAAUCGUGUCGUAGAUAUCACCUGGUUUCACUCCCAUACCAUACAUACGCACAUAUCCAUGCUUAUCCGUACCCAAUACUUUUGCAAAUGCAUCAUCAGGAGUAGGAGUAGGAUCAUCAUCUGAAUUCUGAGUUUCGUCUUCUUCUAUUUCUUGCAAUUGUUCCUGUAAUAAUUUAAUAUAAUAUUUAAUCAACAAUAAAGCUUGAGAUUAUAUUGUAAAAUAAACAAGGACAUAAAAUUUAUAGUCAGAUCUAACAUAAAUUUAAACUUACAAUGGUUUCUAGAACUUUGAACUUCUAGAUGAACCAUCUUCCUUGUAAUAGCAUUCUUUGAAUAACUCGGCUCUUGUAGGAUAUCUACCAAGAUUCUUCUUCUGCAUAAAAAUGAGGUCAUAUUACAAGUUCCAACGGAAUAAAUCAGUUAAUAAUAAUUAAUCCAAAAGAGAGGUUACCGUUAUUUCUUUGACUCGAGCGAAACUUUUUGUCCCCAUACAGUGAAACAAUUUCAAUUCACCACGUGCGUUCCGAUUCUUUUCACUUGUUUUCUAAAAGAAUGAAAAUAACAAAACACAUUAAUAACCAUAAUUUUUAAUAACUUGUCAAUAUUGCAAUGUUGUGGAGUAUUUUGAAGAAUAAAGUCUAAAUGAACGAGACAGUCUGAACACUAAAAUACACAAUUUUUUUUAUUGUUAGUAGACGGAGUACUAAUUCGUUACUUUUCUGUAAAGUUAAGCUGGUGUGCAAUAAAAAAAACAUUACAUACCUUAAAUUUGUCGGACUUCCAAUGCUCAACAAGCAUACGGCACUGCUCUUCAUCCACCCUCGUAUGUACAUUUACCAACUGCUGCUCAAUAGGUAUAUUAGGUUCCAAAUUCAAACUCUUCAAAUAAUUCUUCCAAUUCUGCCAUUUCUUGUUAAUUGAUUUCCAUAUGUAAGGCUCUUGUUCUAGCGGUAACUCAAAUUUAUUCUAUACAAACCAGAUAAUAUCAACAACUAACUCCACACAUUUGAAUAUUAAAAAUAAAUAAGUAACUAGUCACUAACUUUAACUGUAUUAAUCAUUUCAUCCUUAUACGUUUGUGGCAUUAACCUCCAAUCUUUGUACUGUAACGGGCAAUAUCUUCCGUUUCAUGCAAUUGUUCCUAAGAAAUUAGAUAAUGUGCUUGUUUUUUGUUCAUCGUUUGGUUGCCCGAGGUCAUUGAAUGAAAUAGCCAUAGGCUCUUCAACCGGUUGCUCCCAAACUUUAGGCAUACAAGUAGGCCCUCCUACUCUUUUUUUUAGCUGCUGCUAUAAUUAAAUACAUGUAUUUAAUUCACUCUUCUAAUAUGAAAAUUAUAUUGAAGAAAAAAAAAAUUUACCUAGCUCAGUAGCAUCAUCUUGAGAUUCUGUCGCACUUCGUGUAGUUCUACCAUGUUCACUCUCACCAAUUUGCUCCCUAGUAGCAUCUUGUGGAUUUAAAGCCACUAUAUUCUGAUUUCCUGUACAUAUUUUGAGUUAAUAUUGUUCAUAUUAACUUAAAUCUUGUAUGAUCUAAAAGUAAAAAUUUUGAAAUCAUAAACCACAAAAAUAUAAAUUUCAUUAACUCAAAUAAAUAAGUAAAUACAACUUGACUGAUUUUUACUUCCACCUGGUCUAGGUGAGCGAAAUCCAGACAUUUGACUAGAUUGGACACCUAAAUCAGAUCUGAUGCGCUUGCUUCUACCUCCACGUGGUCCAAACGAGGCAAAUUCAUGUAAUUCAUUGAGUUGAUGGCUUAAAUCAUGUCGAGUGCCCUUGCUUUCAGGUCCACGUGAGCGAAAUUCAGGUAAUUGGUUGGAUUUAUCACCUGAAUCAUGUCUGAUGCGGUUGCUUUUUGGUCUAGUAGCAGGAGUCAUGACCUGUAGAAAAAAAAUAAAUAAGUUAUCAAGUUAAAAAAAUAACACUGAUAAAAGAUGUGCAUAAUAUUUAAAAAUCAAGAAAAAUAUGCAUAAAAAUGAAUAUAAACAACUAUAGGGAAAAAAAAUCCCUAAAUAUUAUCUUAAUCUAAUAAAUUUCAAGAGCUGUUAGCUUAGUUAAAAAAAAAAAAAAAACACUUCUUGGCUUUAAACAAUCGUCCCGUCUACUUCUUCUCUAACCCAAUUGGGUUCUUCAUUGAGGAGGUCCAAUAAGAUAUCACUACUACUACUUUGAUGUAAUAUUACUCCAUCCAAAUUCAAAAUUGGAUCCAUGUCAAAUGAAUCUCUUGCUUUAGUAGUGACAACAAUGUACCAUCCAUUUUCCACUGGAUCUUCUACAUAAAAUACUUGAUGUGCUUGAGAAGCUAAAAUAAAUGGCUCAUCAUAUUGUCUUGAAUUAGAAAAAUUGACUAAGGUAAAGCCAUUGUCAUCAUGCUUUUGUGCCCUUCCAGGUGAAACCCAGUUGCACUCAAACAUUACAAUUUUACUUCCCCCAAAAUAUUCUAAUUCAAUGAUAUCUUAUAGAACCCCAUAGUAAGUAACAUCACCAACAAUGGGAUUUUGAUCUUUCCUGCUAGUGAAACUACUAGUUUGUGCAUUGACGACCAAUCUACUAUUUUGUGUUCUUCUCCGGUUUUCAAACUUUUUCACAUUAAAUCGAUAACCAUUGACAAUUAGGCCUCUAUAUCUCUUGCCAACUUCAUUUGGGCCCCGAGCUAGAGCCCUAAGCUCAUCUGACAACUUAUUUCCCUCAAGAUGCAUUCUCUCAACCUGUUAAGUACAAUAAAGCGAGAAUAAUCGAUUAUUACUAGACAAACAUAAAAAUAAAUCAUAAGUAUCUAUUGAGAAGAAAUGAUGUUAUACUUACAUGUUUCAUAAACCAAUUGGAGAAUGUUCGACUGUGAAUUCGUUCAAUAUCUCUUUUGCCAAGACGAGGAUUUUGAUCUUUGACAAUGGUCUUGUGUUGUCUAUAUGUGAAUUGUAUUCAAAUAAGCACAAUUUCAUAAUAAAUAAUUAAAUAAUUGAACAUCACUUAUUCUUACUCGAUGAAUGAUUCAAUUAAAUCACAAUUGAACAACACAUACUGUUGUGCCUUGGAACGUGUUUCAGUUUCCAGGACAACACACUCUUGCCUCCCAAUAUGGCGCCCGGGAUGAGAGAAAAUCUGGAUGGUUGAUGCAAUAUCACUACUGUUAUCGUCAUUUCUUUUAACCCUAUUGAAUUUGGUCUCCACAUCUUCUAAGUAUCUUGAACAGAAGGUCAAACUUUCUUCCAUCAAGUAUGCUUCUGCAAUAGAACCCUCGGGACGACUUCGAUUCCGCACAUAUGAUUUCAAUGUUGAUAGAUAUCUAGUUGAAUUUUUUUUUAAAGUUAUCAAAAAAUUCUAUAUAAUUUAAAUAAAAUAUAAUGAUACUAAAAAUAAUAUUUACCUUUCAAUAGGAUACAUCCAACGAUAUUGAACUGGUCCCGAAAUUCGAGCCUCAUAUGCUAGAUGAAUAGGUCGAUGGAUCAUGAUAUCGAAGAAUGAUGGAGGAAAAUUUUUCUCCAAAUCACAUAGAGUUUAAGCAACCUCUUUUUCCAAACGAAUUAAUUCUCGAGCAUUGAGAACUUAAGAACAAAGUUCUCUAAAAAAAGUGCACAAACUAAUCAAAGAUGCUCUCACAUGCUUUGGCAGUACUUUACGCAAAGCAAUUGAAAGUAGUUGUUGCAUUAAAAUAUGAUUGUCAUGACUUUUUAGACCUGAUAUUUUAGGUGGUUUAAUCUGCACGUGCCUUGAUAUAUUUGAUGCAUAACCAUCAGGUACUUUCACGUUCUUUAAAACUUCAAUAAAUAUUUCUUUCACUUUUUUACUCAUUGAAAACGAGGCUGCCGGCAAGUAGUUUUUUCCUGAAUCAAGCUGCAUAGGAUGCAGACCAGGCCUUAUGCCCAUAUCUUGCAAAUCAAGGCGAGAAUUUUCAUGGUCUUUUGUUUUCCCAUCCAAAUUUAAUAAAGUCCCGAGCACAGUGUCACAUACAUUCUUCUCUAUAUGCAUCACGUCUAAUUUAUGAUGCAACAAAUUGUCUUUCCAGUACGGCAAAUCAAAAAAAAUGCUUCUCUUUUUCCAAUUGUGAGGUAACACAGGAUUAUCAUUUACUUUUUUUCCAAAUUUCAUAUUGAACCCAUUUAAUUCCUCCAAAAUCAUAUUUCUAGUUAAUGGUACGGGAACUCGCCGAUAUUCUUCUUUCCCAUCAAAAGAUUAACUAUCUUUUCUAUAAGCAUGAUAUUCACUUAGAAAUCUCCGAUGACCCAUGUAACACUUUUUACGGCUAUUGUACAAAUAGUGAAAGCAGGUAUCUUUCUGGCAUGAUGGGCAGGCUAACUGGCCUUUCGUACUCCAACCAGACAAAUUUGCAUAUGCUGGAAAAUCGUUAAUAGUCCAUAACAAAGCUGCACGCAUACAAAAAUUUUGUUUAUUUGAUGCGUCAUAUGUUUCGACUCCUUUCCACAAUUCUUUUAGUUCCUCUAUUAGUGGUUGCAUGUAGACAUCAAUAUUGUUGCCGGGAGUUGAUGGACCAGGAAUGAGUAGGGUCAAAAAGAAGUAAGGUUCUUUCAAACACAUCCAUGGAGGUAAGUUGUACGGGGUUAAUAUGACUGGCCAUGUUCUAUGAGUAACACUCAUGGUCCGAAAUGGACUAAAUCCAUCAGCCGCUAGACAAAGUCAUACAUUUCUUGAGUCUUUUGAAAAGUCACCAUAUCGACGAUCAAAAUCAUGCCAAAGCGAAGAAUCACUAGGAUGUCUCAUGCAACCAUCCUUAGUGCGAUGCUCUUGGUGCCUCUCAUAAAUGACGAAGUUUUAGAUAACAUAAAGAGUAUUUGAAGACGAGUCUUCAAUGGAAAAUAUCUCAAUACUUUUGCUGGAAUUUUUUUGAAUUUACUUAAGGAAUCUACUUCAUCAGCAUUCGUUUGAGCUUGAUCGUAUCGAGAUGUUUUACAAACAUGACAAGCUAUAUCAUUCUCAUGCUCUUUCCAAUACAAAAUGCAAUCAUUAGGACAAGCAUGUAUUUUAAUACAAGUGAGUCUGAAUUUUCCUAUUAUCUUUUGAACUUCAUAAUAAGAACUGGGCAGUGACUUAGUUGCUUCAAGAAAGGCCUCUUUCAACAACUCAAGAAGCAUUGUGAAUAAUUUAUUAGACCAUUUACCAGUACACUUCAGGUGAAAGAGUCGUAUGAGAAAUGUAAGUUUAGAAAAUUGUUUACAUCCUGGAUACAAUUCUUUUUGAGCAUCAUCUAACAACUCAAAAAAAGCCUUAGCUUUCCCGUUGGGUUCUUCUUCCAUGUUUGGGUUUGUAUCAUUAACACCAAACGCAUCAUGUACUAACCCAGUCAUAUCCCCUAACAUAUUGAAUUCGUUAAAAUUUUGGGAAUCCACAUGAUCAGUCAAUGUGUCUUCACCAUGCGCGACCCAAUUUGUGUAACCUUUCAUAAAGCCAUCAACUAACAAAUGUUCUUCGGCAAUGUCUCUAAUUACCCAUUUCCCAUUCCUACACCGUUUGCACGGACAAAUAAUUUUUCCACUAACACUUACUUUAGCAUAAGCCAUAUCAAGAAAUUGAUUCAGUCCAUUUUCAUAUUCUUUUGUUGAUCUUGGUUUACUCAUCCAACUCUUAUCCAUUAUGAAUCUACUAAAAUCAAAUAAGAUAUGUUAGAUCAGAUAAUAAGCGAAUACACCAUCGUCAAAGAUAAGAACAAAGUAAUAACAAUAAUAUUUUAUGUCUCUGGUUCUGUAUUGAAACUUAAGUCUAUAGUUAAAUAUAAAACGAACCACGCUGGAUGAGCGAAUUAAUUAAAUAAAAAAGAACUCAUUAUUUACCUCGACAGUGGAAUUCAAUAAUUUCGAACAAUCCCAAAUCCAGUUCCACCUUUAGUAUUCCU